AAACCGCUUAGGGGUUAAACCCGAUGAACCUGAAUAUCUGAAAUGAGAAAUUCAAUAUAAUUGCUCUGUCAAAGGAAUGAUUGUAUGCACUUUUCUCAUAGUAAGACAUUGCAAUCCAUUGGUUAUUAUGGUAAUUAUUCAUUUGAAUUGAAUAAUGCUAUUAUUUUAUCAUACGGCCUCAAUAGUAUUUGUUUAUACAUGAAAAUAUUUAUUUAUUUUUUUUGUAUAAUACUAUAUAGUGUCCCGAUAAAUAUCCGAUGGACUUUACAAAAUUAUGCAUUAUAUUUUGUUGUAUAUAUACUUGAUUGUUAUAUAUGCUAUAUACAAUAUGCAUACAUUUCAUUAGCAAUGCGAUAGAUUUGGGAUACCUUCGGGACCCGUCUUGAAACACGGACCAAGAAGUCUAACAUGUGUGCAAGUCAAUGGGUUUUAUAAUGAUUUUCCAUAAUUAUUAUAUUAAUAGAAACCUAUAGGCAUAAUUAACAUAACUAUUUUAUAUGGGAUAACGAAUAAUUUUUUUUUUAAUAAUUAUUCUACCAUCCUGGGGCGUUCUAUAUAGAACAUGGUUUUCAUUUUAUGAAUAAUCCUCUGUUCUAGAGCGUACCUUAAGCAUACAUGCUGU
rnacentral:rRNA from 1 species